rnacentral:tRNA from 1 species
AUUCAAUUAGUAUAUGAUUUAUAGUAUGUUAAGCUUCCAACUUAAAGGAUUAAAAAUAUAAAUUGAAUA